rnacentral:lncRNA from 1 species
CUGGCCCUGACAGUGGAUCCCUGGGUGUUGAGAAGUGCCUAAGAACGUUAGGGUGCUCUUGCCCUGCAUUUAAGGGGUGGCCCUUGAUUCCCUCCUUUGGAUUAUCAUCCUUCCUGAGUUGCAGGUCCUUCUAGUUGUGGCGUGUGGGAUGCACCUCAGAAUGGCUUGAUGAGUGGUGCCAUGUCCGCACCCAGGAUCUGAACUGGUGAAACCCUGGGCCACCAAAGUGGAGUGUGCAAACUUAACCAGUUGGCCACGGGGUGGCCCCCUCAUGAUUUAUCGGUAAUUGGUUUUGGGGGAGAGGGAGAAGAACAUAAAUGUGUUUCAGGGUCUUAUUAAAAGGUCUCAGGUGGAUCUUGUGAGCCAUCUUGUGUUUCAAGUCCAGCGUGCACGAUAUGACCAACCACCAAACGGCAGGAGUUAGUGAAAUCUCUGCCUCCAUCUUUCUCACCAUGGAAGUCUGGUGAGAUGUUAGCCACCAGUUGCUGCUGUAUUGGGGUGGAGAGGAAUCUCUCCUCAGUUAAGUGCGUUCUCUGGCCUCCUAAGGACACAUUUGUUCUAGAGACUGCCCUAACUCCGUCCUCAGGUGUAUUGCAGUUGUAACUCUGGAAGUGAGACUCCCGACCCUCCACUCCAGCACCUGAUCUUACAGAUUGUGUCUUGUGUUUGAAACUGAGUCCUGUUACUCUUGGCUCUGUCUGCUUCCUGGUUCCAAGAAAUAAAACGUGAGAAGGAAGGUGUUAGGCCC